rnacentral:misc_RNA from 1 species
GAUGAAGAACGUAGCGAAAUGCGAUACUUGGUGUGAAUUGCAGAAUCCCGUGAACCAUCGAGUCUUUGAACGCAAGUUGCGCCCGAAGCCAUUAGGCCGAGGGCACGCCUGCCUGGGCGUCACACGUCGUUGCCCCCCCAUCUACUCCUUCGGGAUUGCGGGGGGCGGAUGAUGGCCUCCCGUGCGCCUCGCCGCGCGGUUGGCAUAAAUGCCAAGUCCUCGGCGACGCACGCCACGACAAUCGGUGGUUGCGAAACCUCGGUUGCCCGUCGUGUGCGGUCGUCGCGCAUCGAGGGCUCGAAAAAAUUGCCGGGUUCCGGCUCGGCUUUCAACGCGACCCCAGGUCAGGCGGGGUUACCCGCUGAAUUUAAGCAUAUCAAUAAGAGGAGGA